UAGAGUCUAAGGAAAGUAUGUGUGGCUGUAGUUCACGCUAGGUAUCCAUAGGAGAUGUGGCGAAUCCACAAGAAUAUGGAAGCACCCAUAGGAGAUGUGGCGAAUCCACAAGAAUAUGGGGUAGAAGCCUAGUGGGAGCUACCCACUAUAAUAAGAAACGAAGUGCCAACCGCGAGAGGCGGGAUAUAAAAACGUGCAUUGUAGAGUUCUUAGUUCAUGGUAGGGUAACGGGGUGUUAAAGGUGUCAUAGGAUCGAGUCGGUCUGGUAAGAUGAGUCGGUUAAGUCUAGGGUUUAACGUGUGUGGCAAUAAGUGAGAUCAUUGUAUUAAUUGAUCACUAGGUUGCUAGAAAUGUAUGGAAUUGAAUGUGGAAAUUAUUGAUGACGAUAUGAAAUGAUAAAAUACAUUACCUGAUUGUAGUGGCUAGUCAGUCCUAGUUCCCGCAUAGAGUAGUAUAGAGUGUCAUGCGGGCAAGCUGGUCUAGAGCCACUUCACUGAGUAAUUUGUUGCUCACUCCUCCAUUUCCAUUUCCCUGUGCGCAGGAUUGUAAGUAGAAGUAUAUGUAUGUGGGUGUGACGGUAUUUCAAAGAAGGUUAUGCGCCUGUCGACUCUCGGGACCAGUAACGGGACACGUAGGGUUGUCUAAAUGAGUAGACACGUGUCCAUAACGCCCAUUCGAUAACCCCGGUCGGACGCCGGGGGAUCGGGCCGUUACAAUUGGUAUCAGAGCGGGUUAAGAUCCCUUAGUUCUGUCCUAAGGGAUCAGCAUUUCCGAUGUUUUCAAAAAAAAAAAAAAAAAAAAUUAUUGGGAAUAUUAGUAAGUAUUUUCGGAUUGUGAAAAGAUUAUUUGAAAAUCCCACUAUAUCCAUACUUCUAUUAUGGUUCUGAUUGAAAUUUUAUUGCAGGAUGUUUCCGCUUCACCAUUAUGAGUGGAGGAUGCCACGUAUGCACUAUGGACGGAGGAACACCAGGGACUAUGCCCGUAGGCGUCACCGUGACAUGGAGGGUAACUUGGUGCUACACAUGUUCCCGGAUCCUGAAGAGCAGUACAGGGAGUUUCCAUUCAGGUACCCGCACGAGCAGACUGUGAGGCGUAAAGUGUUGAUGCCAAAUUUCCAGAGGAUGGCUAUGGAGGAACGCAUACUACAGGGCAAUGCGAGGUUCCAGCUUGCAACCGAAGAGGGACCCCCGAGGAAGCGUAACCGUCCAUGCAAGCCGCCAAGUGCAGCGGGGGGACCCCCAAGGGUGUUCACCGGGAAGUGCCAGUGUGGAGUGCUGAUCAAGAAUGCUCAGGAGGACCGAUCAGUCGCUGGAUACACCGAGGACUUCAUCAACCAAGCCAAGCUGGGCAAGCCAAAGAAUGCAGAGACAUGGUGCGUAUGGUAUAAGAACGGGCUUCGCAAGGAAAUCCAGGCGCAGUUGAGGGGUGUUUUGGAGCCCUUGGAGUUCGCGCUAGUGAGGCGGAUGGCAGGUUUCGCCAUGGAGGCAGAGGAGCAGAUUGCAGCCAAUGUGGCCGCUCUCUCGAGCAUGGAAUGAGGGAACCCGGGUAGGGACGCCGAAGGCGAGGAGGUGCCGGUCGGGGAACUCGCUAAGGGAAAGCGGGGACGUCCGCGGAAACCUCCUACAGUGACAUGUGAUUGUGAUGUACUGGUCCAGAUGGUUCAGAAGCCACGCAAGGUGAGAGAUUACCUGGAGGAGUUCUUGGAUACGGCCAAGAGGUGCCAACCGAAGCCAGCAGAGGAGUGGUGUCAUAUGUUUAGGGCUGGGCUACGUGGAGAUAUUCUUGAAGAGCUCGUGGGGGUUCUGGAGCCUCUGGAAUUUGCACUGGUGAGAAGAAUGGCCAACCAAGCACUGCACGCAGAGGAGUGGUUGGCGGAAGGCGCGGCGGAGGCCGAGUAUGAUCGCGUCGCGGAGGGCGAUGAAGACCUUGGAUCCGAGACCCACUGUGCCUCGCCAUGUCAAUGUGGCUAGCCGAGAUCCUAGGGACUACUAGUAGGAGUAGGACACGUGUUUUGCUAUUGGUUUUAUUUCAUUUAUUGGUUAUUGGAGUAGGUGUUCUUUCCAUUCUUUACGGCAUUCUGUAUUUUGUGCAGACGCGCCGAGUUUUCUUUUUUUUUUCAAACUAUUGUGGUCCUACUCCUUUUAUUUAUGACAUUCAUUCGUUGGUUUUAAAGAUUCCAGUAGAGUUAUCAUGCCUUGUAUGCGUCCCUUGAUUGUUGUGUGAAUGUGUGAGUCCAUUUCGGUAACGAACGAUUAGUCCGAAAGAUAUGGGCCUUGGAAUUCGGGGAAAAAUUCCGAUUAACGGGGGAGGAUUGUAACGGCCCGGUUGCUGUCCCAUAAAUUUCCCUGAGAAUAUGGGCUUCUCUACGGCCCAUUUGGCAAAGACCUAGGGUUUCCCUUUUCCUUUCCUAUAAAAAGAGAUGCAGCCUCCCUUUUGCCUCAUUCAGAAACUAAAGCGAAGCUCUUCAGAGAAUUCCCGGAGACCAGAAACCCUAGCCGUCGAGCUCUCUCCCUUUCUCUCUUGCGCCGUCUCUCUCUCUUCUCUCUCUCUCCCUCGCAUCGCUCUCUCUCUCCUCGCCAUUGCUCUCUCUCUGCUCGCCGUCACUCUCUCUCUCCUCACCAUCGCACGCUCUCUCUCUCCUCGCCGGCGCCAUGUGGUGGUGGUGGUGACCAGAUCUCAACCUUCUCUCAUCCUUGUUUCCAGAUCCAGAUCCAUAUCUAGGCUAAGGUGGAGUGUCUUGAACCCAUCUUGUUCUCAUGUACUGUAUACUCCUUUAUGUUGGAGUUAGGUUUGAUUAGACCCUGUUUGAAAGCUAGGUUGAUAGAACAUGAUUAUUGCUAGGAUGUUAGAUGAAUGGAACACAAUGCAAAAGAACCCUCAUAUUGUUAAAUGGGACUUAAUAAACUGAAAUGGAGGUGUGGUAGUGAUGAUUGAUUGGUGAUUUAUGCUUGUAUGUUUGGAUGUGUAGUCCCAUGAGUGGUUUGUGAUUAAAGCUAGGAUGCUAGAGAGAAAUGAAUGCUAAGCUGAUAGAUGAGUAAUGAUUGUUAAUGUUAUUGAAGUAGAACUUGAGUGCGAUGUGUAUUGUGUGUGACACCGAUAACGGGUGGCUUCUAGUGAAUGAGUCCAAGUACAAGUCUAAAUGAAAAGGAAAGUGAAUGAGAAUGGGAAGGGAUAAGUGAAAAUGAUAAGGAUGUGAAAGGAUAAAUGAAAGUAUAAAAGAAUAAUGUUAAGGUUAAGCAUGGGUGGGGAAAGCAUAUAGAGUCUACGGAAAGUAUGUGUGGCUGUAGUUCACGCUAGGUAUCCAUAGGAGAUGUGGCGAAUCCACAAGAAUAUGUAAGCACCCAUAGGAGAUGUGGCGAAUCCACAAGAAUAUGGGGUAGAAGCCUAGUGGGAGCUACCCACUAUGAUAAGAAACGAAGUGCCAACCGCGAGAGGCGGGAUAUAAAAACGUGCAUUGUAGAGUUCUUAGUUCAUGGUCGGGUAACGGGGUGUUAAAGGUGUCAUAGGAUCGAGUCGGUCUGGUAAGAUGAGUCGGUUAAGUCUAGGGUUUAACGUGUGUGGCAAUGAGUGAGAUCAUUGUAUUGAUUGAUCACUAGGUUGCUAGAAAUGUAUGGAAUUGAAUGUGGAAAUUAUUGAUGACGAUAUGAAAUGAUAAAAUACAUUACCUGAUUGUAGUGGCUAGUCAGUCCUAGUUCCCGCAUAGAGUAGUAUAGAGUGUCAUGCG
rnacentral:lncRNA from 1 species